rnacentral:rRNA from 1 species
GUUAGGAAUAUUGGACAAUGGGCGCAAGCCUGAUCCAGCCAUGCCGCGUGAGUGAUGAAGGCCUUCGGGUUGUAAAGCUCUUUAGCCGAUGAUUAUAAUGACUGUAGUCGGAAAAUAAGCCCCGGCUAACUUCGUGCCAGCAGCCGCGGUAAUACGAAGGGGGCGAGCGUUAUUCGGAAUCACUUUGCGUAAAGCGUGCGUAGGCGGCUUUGCAAGUUGGGAGUGAAAGCCCAGGGCUCAACCCUGGAAUUGCUCUCAAAACUGCAAGGCUCGAAUUCGGGAGAGGAUAGCGGAAUUGUCAGUGUAGCAGUGAAAUGCGUAGAUAUUGACAGGAACACCAGUGGCGUAAGCGGCUAUCUGGACCGAUAUUGACGCUGAGGCACGAAAGCGUGGGGAUCAAACAGGAUUAGAUACCCCGGUAGUCC